rnacentral:rRNA from 1 species
AUUGAACGCUGGCGGCAUGCCUUACACAUGCAAGUCGAACGGUAACAGGUCUUCGGAUGCUGACGAGUGGCGAACGGGUGAGUAAUACAUCGGAACGUGCCCAGUCGUGGGGGAUAACUACGCGAAAGCGUAGCUAAUACCGCAUACGAUCUAUGGAUGAAAGCGGGGGAUCGCAAGACCUCGCGCGAUUGGAGCGGCCGAUGGCAGAUUAGGUAGUUGGUGGGGUAAAGGCUCACCAAGCCGACGAUCUGUAGCUGGUCUGGGAGGACGACCAGCCACACUGGGACUGAGACACGGCCCAGACUCCUACGGGAGGCAGCAGUGGGGAAUUUUGGACAAUGGGCGCAAGCCUGAUCCAGCCAUGCCGCGUGCAGGAUGAAGGCCUUCGGGUUGUAAACUGCUUUUGUACGGAACGAAAAGUCUCUUUCUAAUAAAGAGGGAUCAUGACGGUACCGUAAGAAUAAGCACCGGCUAACUACGUGCCAGCAGCCGCCGUAAAAC